rnacentral:rRNA from 1 species
CGCUGGCGGCGUGCUUAACACAUGCAAGUCGAACGAUGAAGCCCAGCUUGCUGGGUGGAUUAGUGGCGAACGGGUGAGUAACACGUGAGUAACCUGCCCUUAACUCUGGGAUAAGCCUGGGAAACUGGGUCUAAUACCGGAUGGGAGCGCCUACCGCAUGGUGGGUGUUGGAAAGAUUUAUCGGUUUUGGAUGGACUCGCGGCCUAUCAGCUUGUUGGUGAGGUAAUGGCUCACCAAGGCGACGACGGGUAGCCGGCCUGAGAGGGUGACCGGCCACACUGGGACUGAGACACGGCCCAGACUCCUACGGGG